rnacentral:rRNA from 1 species
AGAGUUUGAUCCUGGCUCAGGGUGAACGCUGGCGGCGUGCCUAAGACAUGCAAGUCGAACGGGUUGGUAACAACACCGUGGCGGACGGGUGAGUAACGCGUGGGUGACGUGCCCUGGAGUUGGGGACAACCAAGCGAAAGUUUGGAUAAUCCCCGAUGGUGAUGCAGCUCCUGUGCUGUAUCUAAAGAUUUAUCGCUCCAGGAUCGGCCCGCGUCCUAUCAGGUAGUUGGUGGGGUAACGGCUCACCAAGCCAACGACAGGUAACUGGUCUGAGAGGACGACCAGUCACAGGAGCACUGAGACACGGGCUCCACUCCUACGGGAGGCAGCAGUUAGGAAUAUUCGUCAAUGGGGGAAACCCUGAACGAGCGACGCCGCUUGAAGGACGAAGCCUUUCGGGGUGUAAACUUCUGAACUCGGGACGAUAAUACGGUACCGAGCUAAUAGCACCGGCUAACUCCGUGCCAGCAGCCGCGGUAAUACGGAGGGUGCGAGCGUUACCCGGAUUUACUGGGCGUAAAGGGCGUGUAGGCGGUUUGUUAAGUCCGAUGUGAAAGACCGGGGCUCAACCCCGGGAACGCGUUGGAUACUGACAGACUAGACGGCUGGAGGGGGUAGCGGAAUUUCCGGAGUAGCGGUGAAAUGCGCAGAUACCGGAAGGAACGCCAAUAGCGAAGGCAGCUACCUAGACAGCACGUGACGCUGAGGCGCGAAAGCAUGGGGAGCAAACCGGAUUAGAUACCCGGGUAGUCCAUGCCCUAAACGAUGAGUGCUGGGUGUCCGGCGUAUGCUGGGUGCCGAAGCUAACGCGUUAAGCACUCCGCCUGGGAAGUACGGUCGCAAGACUGAAACUCAAAGGAAUUGACGGGGCCCCGCACAAGCGGUGGAGCAUGUGGUUUAAUUCGAACGCGCAGAACCUUACCAGGCCUUGACAUCUGGGGAAUCCCGCUGAAAGGUUGGAGUGUCCGCAAGGAAGCCCCAAGACAGGUGCUGCAUGGCUGUCGUCAGCUCGUGUCGUGAGAUGUUGGGUUAAUCCCGCAACGAGCGCAACCCCUGUAGUUAGUUGCCAGCAGUUCGGCUGGGCACUCUAGCUAGACUGCCUGCGAAAGCAGGAGGAAGGCGGGGAUGACGUCUAGUCCGCAUGGCCCUUACGGCCUGGGCUACACACGUGCUACAAUGGUUGCUACAGAGCGCUGCAACACGGCGACGUGAAGCCAAUCGCUUAAAAGCAACCUCAGUUCGGAUUGGAGUCUGCAACUCGACUCCAUGAAGCCGGAAUCGCUAGUAAUCGCGAAUCAGCUACGUCGCGGUGAAUACGUUCCCGGGGCUUGUACACACCGCCCGUCAAGCCAUGGGAGUAGGUUUCUCCUGAAGUCACUGGGAGCUUAAGGCAGGUGCCGAGGGUGGGGCUUAUGACUGGGGCUAAGUCGGAACAAGGUA